AGAGUUUGAUCCUGGCUCAGAUUGAACGCUGGCGGCAGGCCUAACACAUGCAAGUCGAACGGUAGCAGGAAGUGCUUGCACUUCGCUGACGAGUGGCGGACGGGUGAGUAACGCUUGGGAACUUGCCUUUAGGUGGGGGAUAACAGUUGGAAACGACUGCUAAUACCGCAUAAUGUCUACGGACCAAAGGGGGCUUCGGCUCCCGCCUUGAGAGAGGCCCAAGUGAGAUUAGCUAGUUGGUGGGGUAAAGGCCUACCAAGGCAACGAUCUCUAGCUGUUCUGAGAGGAAGAUCAGCCACACUGGGACUGAGACACGGCCCAGACUCCUACGGGAGGCAGCAGUGGGGAAUAUUGCACAAUGGGGGAAACCCUGAUGCAGCCAUGCCGCGUGUGUGAAGAAGGCCUUCGGGUUGUAAAGCACUUUCAGUUGUGAGGAAAGGUUGGUAGUUAAUACCUGCCAGCUGUGACGUUAACAACAGAAGAAGCGCCGGCUAACUCCGUGCCAGCAGCCGCGGUAAUACGGAGGGUGCGAGCGUUAAUCGGAAUCAUUGGGUUUAAAGGGUCCGUAGGUGGAUUGGUAAGUCAGAGGUGAAAGCCUGCAGCUCACCUGUAGAACUGCCUUUGAUACUGCUAGUCUUGAAUUAUUGUGAAGUGGUUAGAAUAUGUAGUGUAGCGGUGAAAUGCAUAGAUAUUACAUAGAAUACCAAUUGCGAAGGCAGAUCACUAACAAUAUAUUGACACUGAUGGACGAAAGCGGGGGGAGCGAACGGGAUUAGAUACCCCGGUAGUCCACGCCGUAAACGAUGGUCACUAGCUGUUCGGAUUUCGGUCUGAGUGGCUAAGCGAAAGUGAUAAGUGACCCACCUGGGGAGUACGUUCGCAAGAAUGAAACUCAAAGGAAUUGACGG
rnacentral:rRNA from 1 species